AAAGCGGGCGAGGGAGUGGCUGAGGUGCCCGGACCACACAUCACCUCCCCGGCACCUAAGUCUCCGUGCACCCAAGACAACGCUCCCCCACGCGCUGGGACACAGAACACCGGCUGCUAGGACGACCAGCAGACAGAAAACCAGACGUCCUCAGCCCCACCCGCAAGUGAACGGAAACGGGUCACCGUGGCCCCAGACCUGGUGCGGGGUGGGAAACCCUCCUCGCCUCACUUCACCCCAAGACCUACACAACCAGCGGUGGGAACGCGUAACCCCGACUGCCCACGUUAAACAGGAUCAGAUGCUACAAGUGAUCCC